AAUGCUAACAGUAUGCCUCGUCUUAAAUUAAGAUUAUUGGCUGUGUUAUCUAGUGGAAACCUGGGGAAUGGCAAUAUUACAGGUCGCACUGAAACAGAGCGCAAAACAGAGAUCUACACACAUGCAAAAGGAAUUUCUCACUCGAUACAAAACGUGGAUUUAAUAUCUUUUAGAAUAUUUUCUGGUUUUUGGAGAAACACCUGCAACUGGAUACGGACAUUUAUAAGAUACAAUUUUCUCCCCGAAUCGAGAACAGAGAAAGUAUCGCCAAAAACAGUUGGAAGGAUGACACGCAAAUUCUUGGGAUGGUGGCCAACGAUGAAAAAAGCACUUGACUGCUGGGCGAGAAGAAAGGACAGGUUGUGCUUGGCUUCUUGGAUGCCAUGGGCCCAAAUACUGACCUGCCGUAAUCAUGUGGUGACACUGAGCUAGAAAUGGACGUCAAGUGGGGGAAAAGAGUUGGUGGUGUGUGGAGAUUCCAAGGAGAACAUGUGGUUCAUGGGUUUACUAUUGAUUAACUGAGUGUUUAAUAAGUGUUUUAGUUGUUGAUCUUCAACUAGUCUGACCUGAGGUGGAGGCCAGAUAAGAAUCGUUUUUUUGCCAGUGCCAGGAUGGGGCCUUGUUGCACCCCAAAACCUCCCAGCAGCACCAUGCUUGCCUCACCCUCCUCCUAUCUCCUCCACACCCUUAGCCGUUGAUCCCUGCCUUGAGAUACCAGGAGCUUGGACUCCUCUGCAGCCAGCCAAAUCAGAUAGAGGAUGGACACCCGCAGAUCCUCGCUAGCCCACGUCCUCUAACCUGCACAAUAGGGUUGGGGUGGUUUCAUCAGUUCUUAAUCACUGAUGUUGUGUUCAGUGAUUUAUUAAAUUAAUUAAGUUCAUUAUCUUACAGAGUUGUUGGCAAACUUUUAAAACCAUAUACAUGAUUUAAGACUCAAGAGCUUCAACCCAUCACCAUGGUAACCCACUGCAGCAUAACCCUCAGUGACAGCCACACAGAGAAGCGGGUUCAAUGGUUGACACCUUCUUUCCCUUCUGAACAACGGACUCUUGUCAAAACAAACAACCACAAUAACAAAGUGAUUUUUGAACAUCCGAGUGACAGAAAUGGACAUUGAGGAACAUCUGAAAGAUGAGUGUAAUGGCAUAACCUGGGUUCUCCAAACACAUUCACAGAGCGGCUCAGACCACCUGACCAUAAUUGGACUUGCGGAGGAGGGAGAAGUAAAAAGUGGACAUUUCAAAAUAUAUGUGUGUGUGUAAAGCAUCUCUCACCGUGUGGUCAGAGCCAGCACUCAGGAGUAUGGUCACUUCCAGCAGGAAGGUGAGCACCUCUGUAGAUCUGCUGUGAGCCUGGUAGCGGCCCAUGCAGAUAGAGGCUGGAACUGAUCACAGCCUCACCUCUCCAGACAGCCAGUGCACAGCAGAGAGGAGGAGGGAGAGAAGGACGGACUGCGUACUGACCUCUGAUAACCAGAUAGAGUCUGGGAGGGAGGAAGGAGGAAUUAGGAAAGGAAGGUUGCGUUAAAACGACGAGGGCAAAAACAUUGUAGUUACUCCACAAUACUAACCUAAUUGACAAAGUGAAAAGAAGAAAGCUUGUACAGAAUAGCAAUGAACUUUUUGUCUUGUAUACAAAGUUUUAAUGGUUGGGGCAAAUCCAAUACAACACAUUACUGAGUACCACUCUCCAUUUUUUCAAGCAUAGU